GCAAGUCGCCUGGCGAAUCAGGACAUGUGGAGUUUUUUUAAAAAACAAUUAAAAAAAUUUAACACUUGCAAAAAUUUUUAAAUCAAUUAUUUUUUUUCCUAUAUUUCAGCAAUUCAAAUAUUCAACUACCUAUAUUCCUAAUUUUUCUCAAAAACCCAUCCCACGUUACUCAUAUAUUUUGAAACUGUUUUCUUUUUCUUUUUGGUAUAAAACUGUUUCUUCAUCUCUAAUAUAAAUUAAAUUACUUUCUUCUCUCCAUUGUAUCUACAAAACAUCGUGGUUUCAAAGGUGAGACUCUAAGUUUUGACACAUGGUGAUCAAGGUUAAUGUUCUCUAAAUUGUACUCAAGGCUAAACUUUACAUAGAACAAACAAUCAGUGCAUUUUUUUUUUUGGUUUAAAAACAAUCAGUGCAUUGUUGCAUCGUGUCUACACUCUACAGCACAUCAUCAAAAAGAAAAAGUAAGUGUUCCAUUGUUAUAUAUAUUAAGUUUUCCUGCAACAAUAAUAUAAAGUUCACGUUUUUAUGAAGGAUUACGUUUUACCCAUCCAUGUGCAACAAAAAUUACGUUCUUUACAUAUUUUCUAUAAAUGGAGAGAACAGAUGUAAAAAGAGAUCAUAAAGAGAUCAUGAAUUUGAGUGUAACCAAAGAGCUCUGCUGCAGGUUGAAGAUGCCACUGGAAUAUAUUGCUAUUUUCCAGCUCAAUUAAUUUCAAAAACUGGAAAUUAGUGUACUUGUCUCUCGGAUUUUUGGAUAAAAAGGUACACAAAUUUUGAUUUCUAAAAUUAUGUUUCUAUUGAAGUUGAUGAGUGUUUGCGUAAAUAGUAGUUUGUUUUCUAAAAAUAUGUUGUAGACUCAUGAUAACAUUAAUAUGCUUACAAACAUAUAUGAGCCUAUCUAUAUUUUAGAAAAUCAGAUAUUUUGUAAAACAGUUUUAGCAUAUUUGCUUCAAUAUUAUAUAUGGUUCUUAUGUGUAAAAUACUAAUUAUUUAAAUUUAAAAUUAUAAUAAAAUAAUUAAAAAUAUAAGAUAUUUGGUCCGUGCAUAGCACGGAAAUAACACUAGUUUAUAUAUAAAGGAGGAAAAUAUGUACCUUAAAUGAUGACGUGUCAGUUCAGUGUAGACAAUUCUUACAUAAUUUUUUUUUCUCCCAACUUGAAAUCAUAUAUAUAUUAACUUGGUUCCAUACAACAACACCUCCAAGCAACACAGCUUGCAUCACAACCACUACAAAAAUGGGUUAGAAAGACUCAUCCAACUACACAUCCACGCCUACAAAGACGGAUACCAAAAAAACAGCAAACUAAUUAGUUACCACCAGAUGUACUUCUGUCAUUCGCAUAGAUAUGAUCCAACCAUCUUGGAUGACCAGCAGCUACAUAAGACUGAGUGAGACCUAAGUUUCUCACACUCUGAGCAAUGAAAAAUGCACAUCUGAUUGUAUUCGAAGACCCAAUCCUUAGUUCCCACGCUUCAAAAGCCUGCAGUUCUCUCUUGAUCUCUCUCACCUCAAACUGCAACGCAGGCCAGCAGGAAGGUUUUUCAAUUGUUUCGAUCAGAUCCCCAGAAUAUCUUGUGUGAAAAUUAAAUUCAGUUUAUCUUUUAGCAAAACAAAUAUUUAAUUCAAUUAAGUAGGUAGCAUUGCUUCAACCAUGCAUGUCUAUAAGAGAAUCUAGCGUUUUCGUUUAUAUCACUGGCUAAUCUGGAUUGGAUUACGAAUUACAACUGCUUUAGUUUAAAAUAGUUAAAACAUAAGUUCUCAAUCAUUGAUCACAUUUUUUUCAUUGUUUAUUCUCUCUGCUUCUAUAUCUGGUGUUAUAGAUGACAUGACAAUAUGACAUUGUAUUCAUUUUGAAUUGGUGUUUGAAAAAAACAUAAUUGUGUUUCAGAUACAAUUGAAUAUAGCUUAUUAUACUCUCCUUUUAACAUAAUUUUAUUUGUAGGCAGACUAUUGUAAAUGAUGAUUAAUACUCUUAUCUAUUCAUCUACAGACGGUUGAUAUUGUGAACAGCGCACAUAAUCAUGAUAGGCGAUCCAACAUGCAGUAACUAAGAAUUAAUACUUCAAGCAGAAAAACCUGCAAUUACAUCUUAUGGUAUUAUCAUAAGAGAUAUAAUGUAAAUUUGCUUCCGCAAUGCUUCAAUUUUAUAACUAAAGAAGUUAUAAUUAUCUUUAAAGAUUCAGUUUAAAUAACCUUUUUGACUACUUCUUUUGAAGUGCGGGCAGACUAAUGUAUCCAACACCUAACAGUGUCCAGGAUCAUGUUUACUAUUCAACAUAGCAUUUCAAAAAGGUAAGCUUUUCUAUUAAUGAUGAAGUAUAUCUUUCGAAUAAAUUACCUGCUAUUGUAAUAGUUAUGUGGAUAACUAUUCAUUAUAAAAUAUCCAUACCACUAUGCACAUCAUAUUAGAAAAAUUGCAUGAAAUGGAAUACAUUGAAUAGCUAGCACCUUUCAAAAUAUAUUCAAUCAAAAAUAUUCUAACAUUUGUAUUUACAGUUUAGUGAUUAUUGUUUAUGGGUUUAUAGUUUAGUGAGUGGAGUUAGGUUUAUAAAAUUUAAUAAAUAAUUCUUAAAUAUUUAUAAAUGAUUUAGAAGAGUUCAUUUUGCUUGCAGUUGGCUGAUGGGACCUACUGUUUUUAUUCACAAUAUUUUCAGGCUAGUGUACCCGAUCAAUGUUUAAUUCUCUUGGAAACUAUUGUUCUUUGUUCUCUCGUAACAUGUUCCCUAUAAAAGUAUGAAUACAAAUUAAGAAAAUCCAGGUUUUUCUUAGUUCGAAGUUUAAUUUUUUUCUAAAUUCUGAUGAUCAUUUGAAAGUCCGAUUAGAUAUUUUUAAAAAUACCCGAGAUUAGAUAUAAAUAAACAAGAAUACAUACAUAUAUAUAUAUAUAUAACUUGCUUUUAUAGUUAUACGGCUGGACUAAAUAUAUAUACAUAUACUAAUUAAUAGAAGGAAUAAUUUGAGGUUUUAUGCAGUAUCAACGUCAGUGAUUUCUUAAAUCUAUACGAUUAUCACAUCAUUCUCGAAUACAUCCAUCUAAUCUCCCCCUUUCAAGCAAGAGAUCGACUUAUUUCCUCGUGAAAAUGGAGAAGCAGCUUCUUACAUUAUCUACAAAUUCAAUUAGGUUACAAACCCUUUUUCUUUUCUCGUACAUGAUAUUAUUAUAAAAUUAGUAAAGCUACAAAGAGCCGGCAAAUAUGAAUCGUCUACGUUAUUGUUCUUUGAAAAUGAUAGACGCCAAAAAUGAAAAAUAUCCAUCAAGUUGCAGACAAAUCAAUUACCAAAGUAGUUCUUACAUUAUCUACAAAUUCAAUUAGGUUACAAACCCUUUUUCUUUUCUCGUACAUGAUAUUAUUAUAAAAUUAGUAAAGCUACAAAGAGCCGGCAAAUAUGAAUCGUCUACGUUAUUGUUCUUUGAAAAUGAUAGACGCCAAAAAUGAAAAAUAUCCAUCAAGUUGCAGACAAAUCAAUUACCAAAGUAGUUUGAAAAAAAAAUGGAAGCGACGUCUCUCUUUUAUCUUCCUGUAUGGACACUUUCGUCUUUUUGGACAAAACACUGAAACCCACGACCACUGAUCACAUCAAACUUUCUUCAACUUUCCAAAGUUUGAUCUACCCCUCAGGUUAUAGGUUUUAAUUGAUAAUUGAAUUAUUGUACUUUUUGUUUUGCUAAAAUGGAUUGUUGUAACUAAAAUGAAUUAUUGUACUGGACACUAAAAUUGUCACAAUAUUCAUAAUUUCCGAACCAAUCCCUAAGCAAAAAUAUUUUCGUGACAUUCUGGACUCAUCUAGCCAAUAGCCACUACGAAAAACAGCAAUUCUGACGACAAAGGGUGUUGGUAAUACAUAUACCAUAAGCAGAAAAAAUUAAUUUAAGGUUAUUAGUUUUCAUUUGGCAGCCAAGUAUUUAUCAAAUAAUCAACAAAUAUUUUUCUUCAAGCAUUUAUUUGUAUAUUCGAUAAAGUGAAGUUUGUUGUUUGAUUCCCAUGAUCUUUCUUUUGGAUGAAAGAUUGGAGGGGUCCAAAUUUUAUGCAAGAGACUGGACUUUGGACAAGUGCUUUUGUAAGACAUCCUCGCACUAUUAUAUUUUCUUAAAUACACCUCCGUAACUAAAUCUACUACAAUUUGAAGAAAGUUUUAGUUUUAGAAUUGGAAUGCCAGCAAUACAAGUUAACAACGAGAUACCGCAAAGUAGUUUUAGAUUAGUGUUUAUUGGGCCUAUGGCUAUUAGAACGGGCUUGAAAUUGCGGGUUUGAACGGGCUAGUUAUGUAAAAAUAUCUACUGUUGACAUGAGUAGAAGUAAUUUUGGUUUAUAUAAAAAGUCAACCAUUAUAAGUCAGAAGCACAAUUAAUGAGAACGUUGAGAUAGGAAGAGACGUGCGUGCAGACAAGUCUAAGCAAACCGCUAUUGGCACCAAAGAAUUAAAGCCCCGCUAUUGGCACCAAAGAAUUAAAGCAUUUUAUAAAAAGAUAGAUUUGUGUCUUAAAGACUUAUUGAUGAUAGCUCAAAUGAGCUUUAUUAUGCAGAGAAAUAAAUAACAUAUAAGAUUUGUAAGUUGUCACCAAGAAGAAUGAAGAUUUAAGAUUGUUUUCAUGAAAGAGAAAGGAGGCUGCUUAUGAGACAGCCAAGGUUACAUUCAUCAGACUCUUAACCACACUUAUAUAAGCUUAGAAACACUAGUUAGAUGGUUCUAUUGGUUCAUAAGAUGGGCCUUUUCUAUGGGCUUCAAUAAAGAAACCGUCCAACAGCGAGAAGAACAGUUUGAGCAUGAUUAGUCCCAUGGGUCCCCUCCUCACCACCAGGAACUUGAUGUUGCCAGAGAACAAGUUCAACAGAAUUAGACAGAGCUUUGUUUCCGCAACGGACUUCAAAGCCACAGCUCUAAACCAGGCUGCAUAAGCCAAACGUGCAUCACAAGUAAACUCUGCUAAGGUUAACGAGCUUUCCAAAGAGAUUUGGGGAUAUGAAAGAUGCGAUUCAUCAGCUCAAGCUUGCAGCCACUCAGAAUCUGCAAGAGUACGCUAAUAUUGUGAAGGAAAAAAGAUGUUUUACGAGAAUGUUACAAGACAGCUGCUGAGGAGGCAGAGAAGAAACUACUAGUGUAGAGGCAAGAAUAUCAGCCUGAGCUCUCAAGGAAGGGAGCUUGGAACUAAAAGUAUAAAAGAAGUAGAAGAGACAAUGAAUAUGGUUAAGAGUUAACGUAAAAAAAAGGCAACACACAUACAUGUCAAUCAUUUUGUUAAAGGAGGAACCAUUAAUCAUCUUCCAGAUUGCAGUAACUGAGAAGGAAGAACACACAUAAUGAGAUGAUCAUCGUCCAACUUAUCACUGUCUGAUUGUGUAGCAAGUCUUACGGAGUUGCCUUGUACUUCCUCACCUCUCCAGUCUCCACUGUUAAACAUGUGGUGCACCAAUUAUAUAUCUCGGCUAUACAACUGAGGUAACCACCCUGACACGCACCAAGCUGAUGCGGUGCAUCUCUUGGGAAGCACGUUUUGCAUACAAGGCGGUAACCUCUUCCAAGUACCGAGACGGUAUUGUUUCAUUUCUUCUCAUAAUUUUAUUCAUCCUAUCCCCGUACGCCGAACGCUUAAGACGAUAGAACCGAGAAAUGACCCAUCCAAAAUCCUUAAACAACGACAUUCAAAAGUUUAUUUUUUUAUUUAUUUUAAAAAUAAAAGAUGGUACAAAAUACAAUAACUUAGCAAAUAGUAUGUCAAUAAAUUGUGGGGGAUAAAGCAAUAAAAGAGAUGUAACUAUUAAAAGAUGGCAGAAGCUGGGAAACAGAGCCUCCUCCUCUACUGACACAAAAACUAUAUGUUUGGUCCCUCUUCUUUCCUCAACCCCACGCACUUCUGACCUAAAAAUCUCUCUCUCUAUCCCUACACGACAGCUGCAACAAAAAAAAACUUUACUAAUUUUUUAAUUGUUUAAUAUUCUCUCUCUGUCUCUCUCUAUCUACUUUUUUAAAAGGGGACUACUAUUAUCGUCAGUUGUCACUAAAUGACUAAACAAAUCCCAUUCUAUAUCAUAAUUAGAAGAAAAAGCGAGGAAUCCUAAACACACUUAAAAUCAUUAUUAACGGAGCAUCUCACAUAAUCCUUCACUA